GUGAUGUGCUCAUCAUGUGUGAAGCUUGAUUGAACUACUCCUCCCAAGGUCAAAAAUAGACUUUCAUAAAUUUGUAUUCUAAAAUAGAUUAUUUUACAAGUGAAUCUGAAAACAUUGCUGACUGAUUUAUCAGGAUGUAUCCAGCAUACUUAAGUGUCUCUGAUCUUUAUUGACAUUAUUACCUGCACUUUCAUUAUAUAUUAGUCUCAAUGAUAGUGUUUUCCUACAUCCCUGUCUGCUUAGUGUGUUCUCUGCAGGGAGUUGUCAGUGAUAUUAUGUUGGUGGACCGCUGUAGAAAAUAUGCGGUACAGUACAUCUUCCCCAGGGACAUCCUGAGGAGGCACAGUAGAUGCUUGGCUAGUAGAAGACCUUGGCUAGCUUGACCGGGUCUCCUUUUUUUUUUAAGGGGAAAAAAAUGGGAUUUUGUUGGGGGAAAGCCCUAAUGAGAUCCAGCCCCCAUUUUCAAAUCAAUACAUGUCACUUUCCCCUCUGCUGACGACUACUGUUCACUCUGGAGACCCUCAUGAGAGCAAUUAGAGGCACCAUCUACACACCAACAGACCAAUUGAGAUGAUCUUGAUAGAGAACAAAAAAUACCAGGAAAAUUAAAUGUGUACAAAUCCAUGACACAGCCUGUCCAAGUGCUGCCAGUCUUUCUAUGCAUAUUUUGCCAUGAUCUUCUGCCUGACAUAAACCACCUUAACUGCUUUUAACUCUAUAUUGCUUAAUAUGAGGAGAUGUGGUUUAGAUUAGAUUUAGACAGAGUCAGAUUGAAACCAAAGUGAUAAUGUAAUUUUCUCCAAGGAUAACUAGUUAUUGGUCUAGAAUAUGGACUGAAUAGAAAACAAGGUUGGGCCCCUCUCAUCACAAUGUAUAGAUGUUGGAACCACUUGCUAAAUGAAUGUUUUCCUUUCAUUAUCAUCAUUUAAAAAACAAAUGUAUUUAAUUGUGUUAAGAUUGUGUUCUAAAGAACAUAGAUUAAAACCAUUUGUUA